rnacentral:tRNA from 1 species
GGGAUAUAACUUAAUUGGUGGAGUAUUCGUUUUGCAUACGAAAGGUUGUAAGUUCAAGUCUUACUAUUUCC